rnacentral:hammerhead_ribozyme from 1 species
AGUUAGCUGACGAGUCCCAAAUAGGACGAAAUGCGCUAUAUCCUGGAU